AUCCAGCUGACGAGUCCCAAGUAGGACGAAAUGCGCGUCCUGUAU
rnacentral:hammerhead_ribozyme from 1 species